rnacentral:tRNA from 1 species
CAAAUUAUAGCUUAGUAAAAGUAUUUUAUUUACAUUAAAAAGUAAAUUGUUUAAACCAAUUUAAUUUGA